AUACGAAGGGUGCGAGCGUUAAUCGGAAUUACUGGGCGUAAAGCGCGCGUAGGCGGUUGGAUAAGUCGGAUGUGAAAGCCCCGGGCUCAACCUGGGAAUUGCAUUCGAAACUGUCCGGCUAGAGUAUGGUAGAGGGAAGCGGAAUUCCACAUGUAGCGGUGAAAUGCGUAGAUAUGUGGAGGAACACCAGUGGCGAAGGCGGCUUCCUGGACCAAUUCUGACGCUGAGGUGCGAAAGCGUGGGGAGCAAACAGGAUUAGAUACCCUAGUAGUCC
rnacentral:rRNA from 1 species